GUUUAACGUGCAUUUGGGAAAAAUUCAAACAGCAUGAACACUUAGCCACGUACUGUGCUGAUGAAUAAAUAAGCAACGUGUGCACCGCACCCCGGCGUACUUCUCUGUAAAAACCGCACGCUUCUUUUUCACCUGGUUUUCAUCACAGAAAAACCCCUAAAAGCCUUUUGCUUUGAUCUGUUACACUUCCUCUGUGAUGUUUAUGGAGAUUGGUGAUGAAUAACAGAUGACAAACAUUAUUCGGUGUGAUCUGACUUCCUGCAGCAGCGCUGUCACGAGCAGGUAUGUGUGUGUGUGUGUGUGUGUGUGUGUGUGUGUGUGUGUGUGUGUGUGUGUUCAGGUACGAUCCGGAGAGGGACUGCUGGCAGCUGGUGGCUCCGAUGCUGACGCGGCGGAUCGGUGUCGGUGUGGCCGUGAUCAACCGACUGCUGUACGCUGUGGGGGGGUUCGACGGUACGCACCGGCUGAGCUCCGCUGAAUGCUACAACUCCGAGAGAGACGAGUGGUCCGCAGCGGCGCAGGCGUGUGCGCGCUGGGGAACUACAUCUAUGUGAUGGGAGGAUACGACGGCACCCAUCAGCUGAACAGCGUGGAGCGCUACGACGUAGAGACGGACGUCUGGAGCUUCAUCUCCUCCAUGAGACACAGACGCAGCGCUCUCGGAGUGACGGCGCACCACGCACGCAUUUAUGUGCUCCCCAGACAGCAAGCAGUUUCGGCCCAGAUCCGGCCCGCAUGGAUUUCACGUGGGCCAGAUGUGGGCCGGAUCUGGGCCAACACUAUGUUGCUGUCUGGGUCGGUACCAGCUGCUUCUCACUCUCAGAACCCUUUCUGUUCCCAGUUAUACUUUGUAAUACAUUUCUGUUCAAUCUUACACCAUUAGAAUGUAUAAAAUACAUGACACACAACCCUUAAAUAUUAUGAUGUAUUUUAACUUUGGUUACAGUUAUUUACUGAAAUGCUCAUCCGUUGCUCGUGAAAAUAUUGAGACAUUGACUGAUUUGUUUGUUUGUUGUGUGUCUGUAGGUGGGUAUGAUGGGAACACGUUUCUGGACAGUGUGGAGUGUUAUGACCCGGACACAGACACGUGGAGCGAGGUCACCAACAUGACGUCCGGCCGCAGCGGUGUCGGAGUCACUGUGACCAUGGAGCCGUGCCAGAAACACUAGAAACACAUGCACAUGUGAACAUCUUCUGGUGUGUGGGUGUGUUUCUCUCGUGGCGUGGAGUGAGGGUUAAUAACGGAGCAGCAGAGCUUCUGUCGUUCAGGAUGAUGGAUGUCUACCUCCUCUGAUCCCGGUGACGUGCUGGACUCGAUCCGCAGCGGUUCAUCAGCGCCGUGUGGUGUUGUGUUUGUGUUUUUCAUGUCAGACGUCGAUCCCUCCUGAAACUGAUGAUGGUGUGAAGCCAGCUCUGGAGCUUCUGGAGCUGUACAAACACACACAAGAUCAUGUUUACUGACAGAACGAGCUGUGAAGUGUUAUCUACAGAAGCCAUCGCAAAUGAAAGAUGAUUUUAACAGACUGAUGAAAUGAUGUAUUUGUAAAAGCAAUAAGCUGCUUUUCCAGGGAUUUGUACAUUGGUAUUGCAUGAAGUCUGUGUUUUUUCUCUACUUUUAUUUAUCUGAGAUACUGCUGUUAGUGAUACAGGCCCUGUUCGUUCUCAAUGGAGGAACUUUUUACAAAUUCAGCUUUUAGUUUGUAAAGGGAUGCUUUUUUUCUUUUAAUCACUCAAAAUGAUCUAUAAAGGGUCAUUUAUGUCUGCUUUACAGUAAAGAACACCUUGUACAGACCUUGUCUAUUAAACCUUGUAUAUCUCGCA